rnacentral:rRNA from 1 species
AAAUUGAAGAGUUUGAUCAUGGCUCAGAUUGAACGCUGGCGGCAGGCCUAACACAUGCAAGUCGAACGGUAACAGGAAGCAGCUUGCUGCUUUGCUGACGAGUGGCGGACGGGUGAGUAAUGUCUGGGAAACUGCCUGAUGGAGGGGGAUAACUACUGGAAACGGUGGCUAAUACCGCAUAACGUCGCAAGACCAAAGAGGGGGACCUUCGGGCCUCUUGCCAUCAGAUGUGCCCAGAUGGGAUUAGCUUGUUGGUGAGGUAACGGCUCACCAAGGCGACGAUCCCUAGCUGGUCUGAGAGGAUGACCAGCCACACUGGAACUGAGACACGGUCCAGACUCCUACGGGAGGCAGCAGUGGGGAAUAUUGCACAAUGGGCGCAAGCCUGAUGCAGCCAUGCCGCGUGUAUGAAGAAGGCCUUCGGGUUGUAAAGUACUUUCAGCGGGGAGGAAGGUGUUGUGGUUAAUAACCACAGCAAUUGACGUUACCCGCAGAAGAAGCACCGGCUAACUCCGUGCCAGCAGCCGCGGUAAUACGGAGGGUGCAAGCGUUAAUCGGAAUUACUGGGCGUAAAGCGCACGCAGGCGGUCUGUCAAGUCGGAUGUGAAAUCCCCGGGCUCAACCUGGGAACUGCAUUCGAAACUGGCAGGCUUGAGUCUUGUAGAGGGGGGUAGAAUUCCAGGUGUAGCGGUGAAAUGCGUAGAGAUCUGGAGGAAUACCGGUGGCGAAGGCGGCCCCCUGGACAAAGACUGACGCUCAGGUGCGAAAGCGUGGGGAGCAAACAGGAUUAGAUACCCUGGUAGUCCACGCCGUAAACGAUGUCUACUUGGAGGUUGUGCCCUUGAGGCGUGGCUUCCGGAGCUAACGCGUUAAGUAGACCGCCUGGGGAGUACGGCCGCAAGGUUAAAACUCAAAUGAAUUGACGGGGGCCCGCACAAGCGGUGGAGC